rnacentral:misc_RNA from 1 species
GCCAUUUCUAAAUGAAAAUGAAAAGGGGUAAGGGAAUUUGAUUUUCGUUCAUUCUUAUGAAAUUUGGAGCAUUACAUUUGUCCUCAGCUGGCCAUAAUAGUUUAUUUGGUUUAGAUCCGUGGAGAGCAAAAAUUAGGACAAAAUUCUGAUGCUUUCAAAGUGCUUGCUUCAAGGUGGCUUUUGAUCAUUCAAGCUAAAUGCCCUGCCUCCAAAUGAGUAAAAACAACCUUGAGUUAUCCAAUAUUUGUUCUACUAAUAAUGAAAUUAAUUAGCUUGGGAGAAGGAGAUCAAGUAUGGCUUCGUUCACCAAAGAAGUAAAGACCUCAAGCUCCAAUUCUAAAACCAACUCUUGUUUUUCUUCAUCAAAAAUUUUCCACUUCCUUUUCCUCUCCAUAUCUCUAACGUAGACAGUCCUGCUAUCCUUCACCUCCCACCCUAAAAGCAUAUCUUGUGGGUGCCCAUUUAUCCAAUGUUGUGCUACUUCUAACUCUUUCUCCAAAUAUUUAUUGUAUCCUUCAAACAUGCUAACACUUGGUAUGUUUUCCAUAA